UACAGAGGGUGCGAGCGUUGUCCGGAAUCACUGGGCGUAAAGGGCGCGUAGGCGGUCUGGUAAGCGUGUGGUGAAAGCCCGGGGCUCAACCCCGGGUCGGCCGUGCGAACUGCUGGACUGGAGCAGAUCAGAGGCAGGCGGAAUUCCGGGUGUAGCGGUGGAAUGCGUAGAGAUCCGGAGGAACACCGGUGGCGAAGGCGGCCCGCUGGGCAGUGGCUGACGCUGAGGCGCGACAGCGUGGGGAGCAAACAGG
rnacentral:rRNA from 1 species